rnacentral:rRNA from 1 species
GGAGUCCAACGUGUGCGCGAGUCGUUGGGUGACAAAACCCAAUGGCGUAAUCAAGGUGAAGGGAAGUUCUCUUUCCGAGGGAGGACAGGGUGUAGCCUGCGGGCGCUCCCUCGCACUCCCGGGGCGUCUCUGGCUCAUUGCGAGCGGAGGCGCACCUAGAGCGUUCACGUUGGGACCCGAAAGAUGGUGAACUAUGCCUGGCCAGGACGAAGCCAGGGGAAACCCUGGUGGAGGUCCGUAGCGGUUCUGACGUGCAAAUCGAUCGUCGGAGCUGGGUAUAGGGGCGAAAGACUAAUCGAACCAUCUAGUAGCUGGUUCCCUCCGAAGUUUCCCUCAGGAUAGCUGGCGCCCAGGUGAGACGAGUCUCAUCUGGUAAAGCGAAUGAUUAGAGGCCUUGGGGUCGAAACGACCUCAACCUAUUCUCAAACUUUAAAUGGAUGAGAACCCCGGCUUGCUUGAUCUAGUGAAGCCGGGGCUCGGAUCCGGGUGCCAAGUGGGCCAAUUUUG